AACGAACGCUGGCGGCAGGCUUAACACAUGCAAGUCGAACGCGUGUAGCAAUACACGAGUGGCGCACGGGUGAGUAACACGUGGAUUAUCUGCCUCUUGGUUCGGAAUAACCCCGGGAAACUGGGGCUAAUACCGAAUGGUUCCUACGGGAUAAAGAUUUAUCGCCAAGAGAUGAGUCCGCGUCCGAUUAGCUAGUUGGUGGGGUAACGGCCUACCAAGGCGACGAUCGGUAGCUGGUCUGAGAGGACGAUCAGCCACACUGGGACUGAGACACGGC
rnacentral:rRNA from 1 species